rnacentral:rRNA from 1 species
UACGUAGGGUGCAAACGUUGCUCGGAAUUACUGGGCGUAAAGCGUGCGCAGGCGGUUGUGUAAGACAGAUGUGAAAUCCCCGGGCUCAACCUGGGAACUGCAUUUGUGACUGCACGGCUCGAGUGCGGCAGAGGGGGAUGGAAUUCCGCGUGUAGCAGUGAAAUGCGUAGAUAUGCGGAGGAACACCGAUGGCGAAGGCG